CCUACGGGAGGCAGCAGUGAGGAAUAUUGGUCAAUGGGCUUACGCCUGAACCAGCCAAGUCGCGUGAGGGAAGACUGCCCUAUGGGUUGUAAACCUCUUUUGUCAGGGAGCAACGCCGGCUACGUGUAGCCGGUCUGAGAGUACCUGAAGAAAAAGCAUCGACUAACUCCGUGCCAGCAGCCGCGGUAAUACGGAGGAUGCGAGCGUUAUCCGGAUUUAUUGGGUUUAAAGGGUGCGUAGGCGGAAUGCCAAGUCAGCGGUAAAAUCGCGGGGCUCAACCUCGCUCCGCCGUUGAAACUGGCGUUCUUGAGUGGGCGAGAAGUAUGCGGAAUGCGUGGUGUAGCGGUGAAAUGCAUAGAUAUCAUACAGAACACCGAUUGCGAAGGCAGCUUACCAAACUAUAUCUGACGUUGAGGCACGAAAGCGUGGGUAGCAAACAGGAUUAGAUACCCGGGUAGUC
rnacentral:rRNA from 1 species